AGACAUAUAAUACAAGAGAUUGGCAACUCGUAGUAGAGUCUAUAUAACGGCCAAUGAAAUCACUUGGCCACCGGAAGUGCUUGGGAUUAUGAUGUGACCUGGGAUGAAGGAGGAUCGCGAUGAGAAAAUUUCGCCAUUGUUGUAAAGAGGGACGAUACGCUUACAGAUUUGUUUUCUCGUUUAUGUCAAUUGCUUUCACAGCUAAAGCAUAAUGCCAAAGAGGAAAAGAUGUAGAAAUUAACAAAUGGAGUUAAAAAGAGAGUAAUCCUCGACCAUGAACAGCUGUUGGUACCAGUAUGGAGGAGACAUCUGUUCCAGUUGCAAUCCACACUGAAGAUGGAAAGAGAAUGAAAAAAUAUGAACGCUUAAAUUUGAUUGUCAUGCUGUUUCUUUUUCUAGCACCAGUGAAAGGCACAGAGCAACUGAUUGCAUAAGAAAUUGAGAUAUUUGCAGUGAAUGAGACACACAAUAAAGAUGAAGAAUCUUGCCAUUUCCCUUUCACUGUAUGCAAUUUAUUACAAGUUACCAUCACUGAUACAUGUAUAUAUCCUUAGCUGUACAGAUACCGAAAUUUGCAUAGUUGAACUGUACCAGAUCAGUUGCAGGGAAAUGAUCAUAAAACUCUCAGUUAUCAUUGACAGUAACAUUAUGAAUAAAUGUUUGAUAAUAAAAAUAUUAUUUAUA